rnacentral:rRNA from 1 species
AGCGAACGCUGGCGGCAGGCUUAACACAUGCAAGUCGAGCGGGCAUCCUUGUGGUGUCAGCGGCAGACGGGUGAGUAACGCGUGGGAACGUGCCCUUCGGUUCGGAAUAACUCAGGGAAACUUGAGCUAAUACCGGAUACGCCCUUUUGGGGAAAGGUUUACUGCCGAAGGAUCGGCCCGCGUCUGUUUAGCUAGUUGGUGAGGUUAUGGCUCACCAAGGCGACGAUCAGUAGCUGGUCUGAGAGGAUGAUCAGCCACACUGGGACUGAGACACGGCCCAGACUCCUACGGGAGGCAGCAGUGGGGAAUAUUGGACAAUGGGGGCAACCCUGAUCCAGCCAUGCCGCGUGAGUGAUGACGGCCUUAGGGUUGUAAAGCUCUUUUCUCCGGGACGAUAAUGACGGUACCGGAGGAAUAAGCCCCGGCUAACUUCGUG